rnacentral:rRNA from 1 species
AGACCCGAAACCCGGUGAUCUAGCCAUGGGCAGGUUGAAGGUUGGGUAACACUAACUGGAGGACCGAACCGACUAAUGUUGAAAAAUUAGCGGAUGACCUGUGGCUGGGGGUGAAAGGCCAAUCAAACCGGGAGAUAGCUGGUUCUCCCCGAAAGCUAUUUAGGUAGCGCCUCGUGAAUUCAUCUCCGGGGGUAGAGCACUGUUUCGGCUAGGGGGCCAUCCCGGCUUACCAACCCGAUGCAAACUGCGAAUACCGGAGAAUGUUAUCACGGGAGACACACGGCGGGUGCUAACGUCCGUCGUGAAGAGGGAAACAACCCAGACCGCCAGCUAAGGUCCCAAAGUCAUGGUUAAGUGGGAAACGAUGUGGGAAGGCCCAGACAGCCAGGAUGUUGGCUUAGAAGCAGCCAUCAUUUAAAGAAAGCGUAAUAGCUCACUGGUCGAGUCGGCCUGCGCGGAAGAUGUAACGGGGCUAAACCAUGCACCGAAGCUGCGGCAGCGACACUAUGUGUUGUUGGGUAGGGGAGCGUUCUGUAAGCCUGUGAAGGUGGCCUGUGAGGGUUGCUGGAGGUAUCAGAAGUGCGAAUGCUGACAUAAGUAACGAUAAAGCGGGUGAAAAGCCCGCUCGCCGGAAGACCAAGGGUUCCUGUCCAACGUUAAUCGGGGCAGGGUGAGUCGACCCCUAAGGCGAGGCCGAAAGGCGUAGUCGAUGGGAAACGGGUUAAUAUUCCCGUACUUGGUGUUACUGCGAAGGGGGGACGGAGAAGGCUAUGUUGGCCGGGCGACGGUUGUCCCGGUUUAAGCGUGUAGGUGUGUGUUCCAGGUAAAUCCGGUUCACUUUAACACUGAGGCGUGAUGACGAGGCACUACGGUGCUGAAGCAACAAAUGCCCUGCUUCCAGGAAAAGCCUCUAAGCAUCAGGUAACAUCAAAUCGUACCCCAAACCGACACAGGUGGUCAGGUAGAGAAUACCAAGGCGCUUGAGAGAACUCGGGUGAAGGAACUAGGCAAAAUGGUGCCGUAACUUCGGGAGAAGGCACGCUGACAUGUAGGUGAAGUGAUUUACUCA